AUUGAACGCUGGCGGCAGGCCUAACACAUGCAAGUCGAGCGGCAGCGGGAAAGUAGCUUGCUACUUUUGCCGGCGAGCGGCGGACGGGUGAGUAAUGCCUGGGAAAUUGCCCAGUCGAGGGGGAUAACAGUUGGAAACGACUGCUAAUACCGCAUACGCCCUACGGGGGAAAGCAGGGGACCUUCGGGCCUUGCGCGAUUGGAUAUGCCCAGGUGGGAUUAGCUAGUUGGUGAGGUAAUGGCUCACCAAGGCGACGAUCCCUAGCUGGUCUGAGAGGAUGGUCAGCCACGCUGGAACUGAGACACGGUCCAGACUCCUACGGGAGGCAGCAGUGGGGAAUAUUGCACAAUGGGGGAAACCCUGAUGCAGCCAUGCCGCGUGUGUGAAGAAGGCCUUCGGGUUGUAAAGCACUUUCAGCGAGGAGGAAAGGUUGAUGCCUAAUACGCAUCAACUGUGACGUUACUCACAGAAGAAGCACCGGCUAACUCCGUGCCAGCCGCCGCGGUAA
rnacentral:rRNA from 1 species